CAAUAGCGUAUAUUAAAGUUGUUGCGGUAAAAAAGCUCGUAGUUGGAUUUCUGUUGAGAGCGACCGGUCCAUACCAUGUAUGCGUAUCUGUCUUGCUCUCGGCAUCCUCUCGAUAGACGUUACUGCGCUUGAUUGCGUGGUGCGGAUCUCGGGACUUUUACUUUGAGGAAAUUAGAGUGUUCACGGCAGGCUUUCGCCAGAAUACAUUAGCAUGGAAUAAUACUAUAGGAUCUUGGUUCUAUUUUGUUGGUUUCUAGAAUUGAGAUAAUGAUUAAUAGGGACAAUUGGGGGCAUUCGUAUCAACACGUCAGAGGUGGAAUUCUUGGAUUGUGUUGCGACGAACUACUGCGAAAGCAUUUGCCAAGGAUGUUUUCAUUGA
rnacentral:rRNA from 1 species